GGACAGAAACAACUAAAAGGNGCUGUUGAUGAUAAGUUUCCUGGUGCUGCUUAUUGUGAGAACACCAGAAUUAUCAGUAAUAGGUUUGUCCCUGUUGCCAAGCCAUAGUGGACCAUAUGAAUCAUCCGUGAACCAUACUCCUAAAUAACUGUUAUUGGUAUUUUCAAGGCUACGAAAUCCUAAAGUGAAAACUCCAUUGGCAGAAACCAGAUAUGCAGAAGAAUUUAGCCUAUCCCCCUGUUUGAGGGUAUCAAUUGAUGAAACAUGUGACCCAGAAAAAUAGAAUAUCAAAAGGAAGGUUGUUAUGGUUCUGCUUAUUUCUCUCUGCAUUUGCAUGAUAAUAAGCAAUUGUUAAAGCCUUGUACAGGAAUGUAAAGAUGGAGUUGUGAAUUGAGUUUAAAAAUAGAAGAGAUCAGAAAGCUAGAAAGAAAAUUUGAAUUGUAAUAUUGAUUUUUCUUCCUUUUUUUUCCUUUGUGGUGGGAAUAGUUUGAAGAGUACACACACAACAUUCUAAUCCUACCAACAUUGACAUUUCAAGUUUCUUGACUAAAUGAUAAAACUUUCAAAAAUCAAGCAGCAAGAUAUCAAGA
rnacentral:lncRNA from 1 species